UACGGGGGGGGCAAGCGUUGUUCGGAAUUACUGGGCGUAAAGGGCUCGUAGGUGGCCAACUAAGUCAGACGUGAAAUCCCUCAGCUUAACUGGGGAACUGCGUCUGAUACUAGCGAGCUUGAGUGCAGGAGAGGAACGCGGAAUUCCAGGUGUAGCGGUGAAAUGCGUAGAUAUCUGGAGGAACACCGGUGGCGAAGGCGGCGUUCUGGACUGCAACUGACACUGAAAAACGAAAGCCAGGGGAGCAAACGGG
rnacentral:rRNA from 1 species